rnacentral:sRNA from 1 species
GUCAGCGCGCAGGGCCGGGAGAGCUCUCAUUUCCUCCCAGCCUCGUGCGGGAAAUGGCUUUAAUUCUGACGGCAGGGCUGUGAGGGACUAGCGGGAACCCGAGCCUUUUGUCAAGGAACUGCGGCGUCGGUGGCCAGUCAUCCCCGCCGCCGCGGAGCCGCUGCACUGCUGGGGGAUCUCCCAGCAGCUCUGACGAGCGCGGGCUGCAGCAUGGGCAGAAAACGCUGCUCUGCAGAUUAGCUGGGUGGAUUUUUUAAGCGCACCCCACCCCCCAAACCCAUAAAAUAACAAAACCAACCCGCAGUGGCCGACCGGAGAUAACUAAGAUGCCGCGCAGGAGGUCAAGAAGCAGGACACAGCCAGCUCCCAGAGCCCAGUGCACCCUUGGACCACACCCUGCUUCCCCCUGGAGGUAACCACUCACCUUCCUUUUAUGUUUCCAUCUGGAUGUUUGAGGUUGUGUAGAUGUGGCUGGCACCCUUGAGAGUGGAGCUGGGGGGUGCAGACUGAGCAGUGAACAGGAGCCUUGGACAGGGCUGGGCCAGCCU